AUUCAUAGUACAAAAUCCUCUCGCCUUCAUUCCCGCCGAGGCCUGGUGUUACUACGAGUCUGAAGCAGACACAUUUGGGCGGUUUUCUACUCAGAGGAGAGAAUUCAUCAAAUGAAUUGGCCCAGACUAUAGAAUUGAAUUGCAGUGUCAAGUGAAGGAAGCUCCUCUCAUAAGAUUGCAGACUGGGAGUCUGAUGACGCUGAGCGAGAGUGAUGGAGUGAGCAGAAUGAUGAAGAUGAAGCCAGAAUUAAGCCAAGUUCCUGGCUUUUCCCAGGACCGUCAAGGACACGAUUGACCUCGGAAUCAGCUGUAAAUGAGGAUGAAACCGAUGUUUAAGAACGGGACAGCGAUAUUGCAUCAAUUUGUCUCCUUCAUUUGAUUCCACCAUCACCACAAGUGAUGUCCUCCUAUCAAGCUGAAAAACAUCUUCAAAAUGAACACCUUGAUUGCAUAGAAGAGACCACACAGCCAUACCUGCUCACUGAUGGGACAACGAGGAACAACAUGGAUGCUACACAACUGUCAACAAGUAUCUCGCUGCAGUCUUGUUCAAAUCUACCUGUCAUAUUUGUUAAUGUCUAGGUAAAUUUGAUGAUUUUAUGUGUUUUAUUAACUAUUUUAUGUUUCUGUGCAACACUUAAUGAAUGUGACUGACUAAUUAACCUCUACACAGCUGGUAUAUGCUUUAAAGUUGCCACUUUGCCCAUU